AGAAAGAUGGUGGGUUUUUAUUGAACCCAUCUAAAAUCUGAACUUGUGGUAAAAUUGAUAAAACAUUUGGGCUUUAAAAUGGUGAUUCUUUACUUUAUUGAACUGAAUUACCGGCUCAAACAAAUUUACAAACUCUUUUAUUAUUGACUGAAUAUCAAGUAAAUUAAUCCAUUUGGGUUAAAAAAAGUUUUAAA
rnacentral:misc_RNA from 1 species